rnacentral:rRNA from 1 species
CGGGGGGGCAAGCGUUGUUCGGAAUUACUGGGCGUAAAGGGCUCGUAGGUGGCCAACUAAGUCGGACGUGAAAUCCCUCGGCUUAACCGGGGAACUGCGUCCGAUACUGGUUGGCUUGAGUUUGGGAGAGGGAUGCGGAAUUCCAGGUGUAGCGGUGAAAUGCGUAGAUAUCUGGAGGAACACCGGUGGCGAAGGCGGCAUCCUGGACCAAUACUGACGCUGAGGAGCGAAAGCCAGGGGAGCAAACGGGAUUAGAUACCCCGGUAGUCCUGGCCCUAAACGAUGAAUGCUUGGUGUGGCGGGUAUCGAUCCCUGCCGUGCCGAAGCUAACGCAUUAAGCAUUCCGCCUGGGGGAGUACGGUCGCAAGGCUG